rnacentral:RNase_P_RNA from 1 species
GUGGCCGGACGGGCAGUCGCGGCCCGUGUUUGCCUGGCUCAUUUGGGCUGGGUGCAGCGGGUCGAGGAAAGUCCGGUCUCCAUAGGGCAGCGUGCCGGCUAACGGCCGGGGGGGUUCGCUCAAAGCGGACUUCACGGAAAGUGCCACAGAAAAUAUACCGCCGGCCGCCCUUCGGGGUGGCAGGUAAGGGUGAAAUGGUGCGGUAAGAGCGCACCGCGCAUCGGGCAACCGGUGUGGCAGGGCAAACCCCACGCGGAGCAAGGCCAAAUAGGGGAGGAUGCGGCGGCCCGCCGCGCUCGACUUCCGGGUAGGCUGCUAGAGCCCGUCAGCAAUGGCGGGCCUGAGAUGAAUGACUGCCACCCCCAAAAGGGGUACAGGAACCGGCUUACAGUCCGGCCACCCAA